UCCAUUGAUGGGGUUGGUAACAAAGGCU
rnacentral:piRNA from 1 species